AUACAGAGGGUGCGAGCGUUAAUCGGAUUUACUGGGCGUAAAGCGUGCGUAGGCGGCCAUUUAAGUCAAAUGUGAAAUCCCCGAGCUUAACUUGGGAAUUGCAUACGAUACUGGAUGGCUAGAGUAUGGGAGAGGAUGGUAGAAUUCCAGGUGUAGCGGUGAAAUGCGUAGAGAUCUGGAGGAAUACCGAUGGCGAAGGCAGCCAUCUGGCCUAAUACUGACGCUGAGGUACGAAAGCAUGGGGAGCAAACAGGAUUAGAAACCCUAGUAGUCC
rnacentral:rRNA from 1 species